AUUUAUGGCUACUUACCUGAUUUGUUGUGGAAUUGGCUCUCCAUCUUUGCCUUGACAAAAUGAUUUGCCUGUCCAUAGUGCAGCUAUGCACAUUUCUGGUUCCCUCUCGAUUUCAAGGCUGUCAAAAUCUCCUUUUCAUGAGUUAUGGCCAAGAGAGAGGGAAAGAGGAAAACAUAGAGACUCAAAGUAAUUUCUUUAUUCAACUGAGCUUAUGUGGCAAUCUACUUAACUGAUGUAGUUAUGGAGCAUAUCUUUUUUGACUGAAAGUAAUUUCUUUAUUUAACUGAGCUCAUAUUAGCACACGUGUAAGUAUUUAUAUCUCUAACUCAUGUUAUUUAUUAAUCUCCUUGACCUUCCUAACAGAUUUAGUUACUCUAACAUCUAACUCAGCCACGUGUGUC